AUGAAUCACAGAGCUUACACAUCUCUCUGAGGGAUACAAGUAUGGCUGUUAACCUUUUCCAAUCAUGCUGGGCGGUUCCACCACUUCUAGAUUUUAGAGGCUGUGGGGAAUCAAGAUUCUUCCAUCAUGAAGUGUGUCAUAUGCAGUUCUGACCAGCAGGAUGUGGAGUGAUGGGUGUUCAGCUCAGCUGUCAUGGGAUGCCGUAUGACUGAUGGGCCAGCCUGAUGUUUACGCUGUCUUGACCUCUGACCCUGAAGGGUCGAGCUGUUGUACGUCACCCAUCUCUGGCACUUCAGACCAGACCAUCUCUCACUGUCUCCUCAUCUCCACAGCGACCAGACGGCUGUGAGGCCACUGGAUGGAGGGAGUGCAAUGAGCUGUCUUUUUUCUAAUGAAUAGUGCUACUAUUCUGUGAGUGACCUGUCAGAUGUGACAGGCGAGACGUGAGGGAUUGUUCAAAGGCCUGCAAGAGGAGCUGACAGGUCUCCUGAAGAGUGAUGGCUAUUUCCACAUACAGUGUUACUGGCACGAGCGAGGAGAAUGGCAGCCCUCGCAAGUCCACCUCCACUCCUGUCAGCAGGAUAGUUAACACAACACUGAGGGCCAUAAGUCAGAAGCCAAAGGUCAAAGGUCAAGGUGGUCCUGAGGCUCUCUUUUUCUGAAUUUCUAUUUUAUUUGACUUUUUUCCCGUGAAUACUUCACACAUGGUAAUAGUAGAGAGAAAUGGUAAGAAGUAAAUUAUUUUUCAUGCCCCAAGUCAAACCAGAUAUGCUAUUCCAGUCGCUCCACAAAACAGACAUGCUUAUAAUAAAUGACAAAAAUAAAUAGCA
ensembl:lncRNA